rnacentral:rRNA from 1 species
GACGAGGGGUCCUAGCGUUGUUCGGAAUCACUGGGCGUAAGGCGUAUGUAGGCGGGCUUUUAAGUCAGGUGUGAAAUCCCACGGCUCAACCGUGGAAUUGCAUUUGAAACUGGAAGUCUUGAGUGUGGGAGAGAUUGGUAGAAUACCUGGUGUAGUGGUGAAAUACGUAGAUAUCAGGUGGAAUACCGGUGGCGAAGGCGGCCAAUUGGCCCAACACUGACGCUGAGAUACGAAAGCGUGGGGAUCAAACAGG